CCUACGGGAGGCACCAGUGGGGAAUAUUGCACAAUGGGCGCAAGCCUGAUGCAGCCAUGCCGCGUGUAUGAAGAAGGCCUUCGGGUUGUAAAGUACUUUUAGCGGGGAGGAAGGUGUUGUGGUUAAUAACCACAGCAAUUGACGUUACCCGCAGAAGAAGCACCGGCUAACUCCGUGCCAGCAGCCGCGGUAAUACGGAGGGUGCAAGCGUCAAUCGGAAUUACUGGGCGUAAAGCGCACGCAGGCGGUCUGUCAAGUCGGAUGUGAAAUCCCCGGGUUCAACCUGGGAACUGCAUUCGAAACUGGCGGGCUAGAGUCUUGUAGAGGGGGGUAGAAUUCCAGGUGUAGCGGUGAAAUGCGUAGAGAUCUGGAGGAAUACCGGUGGCGAAGGCGGCCCCCUGGACAAAGACUGACGCUCAGGUGCGAAAGCGUGGGGAGCAAACAGGAUUAGAUACCCCGGUAGUC
rnacentral:rRNA from 1 species